rnacentral:rRNA from 1 species
CACGUAGGGUGCGAGCGUUGUCCGGAAUUAUUGGGCGUAAAGAGCUCGUAGGCGGUGUGUCGCGUCGGCCGUGAAAACCUGCAGCUUAACUGUGGGCUUGCGGUCGAUACGGGCAUCACUGGAGUUCGGCAGGGGAGACUGGAAUUCCUGGUGUAGCGGUGAAAUGCGCAGAUAUCAGGAGGAACACCGGUGGGCGGAAGGCGGGUCUCUGGGCCGAUAACUGACGC